rnacentral:rRNA from 1 species
UACGUAGGGUGCGAGCGUUGUCCGGAAUUAUUGGGCGUAAAGGGCUCGUAGGCGGUUUGUCGCGUCGGGAGUGAAAACCUUGGGCUUAACUCAGGGCUUGCUUUCGAUACGGGCAGACUAGAGGUAUGCAGGGGAGAACGGAAUUCCUGGUGUAGCGGUGAAAUGCGCAGAUAUCAGGAGGAACACCGGUGGCGAAGGCGGUUCUCUGGGCCUUACCUGACGCUGAGGCGCGAAAGCUAGGGGAGCAAACAGG